rnacentral:misc_RNA from 1 species
UUUUUUUCGUUUUGUUUUUGGUUACAUUCUUUAACUUGGAGUUUAAAAUGAGGCCGCUCGACUAAUCCGGCACUCGCGCGCCUUCGAAAUCAAGCCAAAUAGUGCACAGUGUUGGAGAGUGGAGGUCAGGCCUCUAUACCGAAGUAAAAGAGCACCCUAAAAUUCACUAAUGAUCCUUCCGCAGGUUCACCUACGGAAA